rnacentral:rRNA from 1 species
UACGGAGGGUGCAAGCGUUGCUCGGAAUUACUGGGCGUAAAGCGUGCGCAGGCGGUUUUGUAAGUUUGUCGUGAAAGCCCCGGGCUCAACCUGGGAAUUGCGAUGAAGACUGCAAGGCUUGAAUCUGGCAGAGGGGGGUAGAAUUCCACGUGUAGCAGUGAAAUGCGUAGAUAUGCGGAGGAACACCGAUGGCGAAGGCAAUCCCCUGGGUCUGCACUGACGCUCAUGCACGAAAGCGUGGGGAGCAAACAGG